GACGAACGCUGGCGGCGUGCUUAACACAUGCAAGUGGUGCGACGAACCAGGGCUUGCCCUGGGGCAAAGCCGCGAACGGGUGAGUAACACGUGAGUAACCUGCCCCGAUGACCGGGACAACCCGAGGAAACUCGGGCUAAUACCGGAUGUGGUGCACAGUCUUAAGUCUGUGUACUAAAGGAAGCUUCGGCCUCCGCAUUGGGAGGAGCUCGCGGCCCAUUAGCUUGUUGGUGGGGUAACGGCCUACCAAGGCAACGAUGGGUAGCUGGUCUGAGAGGACGAUCAGCCACACUGGGACUGAGACACGGCCCAGACUCCUACGGGAGGCAGCAGUGGGGAAUCUUGCGCAAUGGGCGAAAGCCUGACGCAGCGACGCCGCGUGCGGGAAGAAGGCCUUCGGGUUGUAAACCGCUUUCAGGAGGGACGAAGCCACUCGGGUUAAUAGCCCAGAGGGUGACGGUACCUCCAGAAGAAGCCCCGGCUAACUACGUGCCAGCAGCCGCCGUAAAAC
rnacentral:rRNA from 1 species